AGAAGCAGAUGCCAAGACAGCAUUAAAUAAGGAAAUUAUGGCCAGUGUAAAAUGCUUGUGCUAAAAAACAAUGGGGAGAGGUCAGAUAUGGUUGGGAGACAAGUCAGACCCUGAUGCAAGUCUGAUCUCAAAUGAGGAAGAGAGAAGAAGAAUGUGAAGAAGGAAGUUGGGUGGGACCUUGUAGACUUCACUACAGUCAAUGGAAGGUUCAGCAAAGCUAUGGUUUUUCAGGGAAACUCCAUACUGCUUUCCAUAGCAGCUGCACGAAUUUACAUGGAAUGCUUUGUCUUCUUGAGCUGGUCUGCCUUAGUAUUGCUACUGCACCUACUCAUUGUCUGGGAGUCACCUGUGAGAUGCAUGUCCUCAGCUCAGAUACUGAGUUAUUUGCUCAUGGAUGAAUGAAAGAAAUGAGAUCGACUGAGUAGGCAAUCAGAAGAAACAGAAGGACAAGUAGAGGUUGAUCAGACAGACAAGGGAGAAAAGGGAAUCACAGGCUGAGAAGAGCACGUGGGAAGGCAUCCUCGUGUGAGCAGGACGUUCAGUAUAUGGAGGAACCGUGAGAAAAGCAGCUGAGCAAGUAGAAGCCGAAUCACAGAAACUUCCCAUGUCACACUGAAGAGUUUGGACUGUAUUCUUUAGGCCAAGGGAAAUCAUACAAGGAAAUGGAAUGAUAAGAUUUUUAGACAGAUCUUUCUGGCAGAGCAGAGGUUGGCUGGGAGUGUGGGGAAGGGAUAGACAUGGUGACAGUGGGGACAUGGAGACCAAUUAGGAGGAGGCUAUUACAAUAUUUCAAACAAGACACGGUUAGGGUUUGUCUUAAAGCCAAAGCAAUGGGAAUGAAGCAGUGGAAGGAAUCUGAUAAGUAUCUAGAAGCUUUAAGCAAAGGGACUUUGUAAUUGACUGUACACAGGCCGUGAAAGAGUGGGAGGAUGAGUCUUAGAUAUUUGGUGGUGGUGCCAUCCAUGACAACAGUGUCUUAGGAAAGAUAAUGAAUUCUGCUUUGGGACCUGAGUUGUGGGGAAAUAAUGGGACUCAUAAGCAAAUCGAAGAAAUGUGAUUCAAGAGAUAGCUAGAGAGCCGAGAGAGAGCUGAUUAUUACAUUGUACUUAACUGUGCUUUAUCUUUCCAUACCUUGGGCUAUCAUUCUUCCCUUCCAAUAAUUUUUUCAGGCUUCCAGAAUCUCUUAAUAUUCAUAUUAUGUGUAGAAGAUUGCUUUCAGAAUCCUCUAUUCUUUCCCAUAUGUAAAGGCUCCUUGACCUGGUGUACGUUUCAUGUGUUUUACUGAUCUUAUAGGGCCCAUCCCCAUCCCUUUUACCCCAAGGAUAAAAUUUAGAAAAAAACCUGGUAGCCCACUAGGUCAUUCUAACAGGAGAUUAUUUUUCAACAUAUAUUGAGAAC